CUGGAAAGUUACUGAGAACUUCUGCACUUUUCAGCCUCUUGGUUUCGUGGAAUCACUGGUGAUUUUUCCUGUAAACACAGCGUCACAUGUGAAGAAAAUCAUCAGGGAUUUGAGGCCGUCCGAAAGCGGCUCCUUGUCAACAUGUGGGACUAGUUUACAUCAGACCACGCCCACAAGACUCCUCAGACCACGCCCCCAGACUCCUCAGACCACACCUGGACGUGAUGCCGGCCCCUCAUCAGGUCACCAGUAGCUCCGCCCUUCAGAUUCCGCCCCAGCCAGCUGGCUCCGCCCUGCUGGACACCAUCAGGCCCGUCCGGGUCCACGCCAUCAUCAACCCGAAGAGAGGGACAGAGGGUUCGUACCACCCGCAGACGCCGCCCCCGCCCCCCAGGCCCUGCGGCUCCACUGGGGCUGCUGGGAAAGCGUGCUGGGCCUGGAUGGGAGGGUGGUGGUGGUGCUGGUGACGGUGGCCGGAGCCGUGAUCCUCCUGCUGCUCUACAGACUGUUACAGCUGAGACACAGGCUUCGGUUGGCGAGGGCGAGACACGCUCUGGAGUACUACGGCUUCUACCACAGCGCCACCUACAGGCUCCGACACCCCACCCUAUCUGACGACCUGCCCACCAAGAACGGGGCCAUCCCUGACAUGGCCCCCCCGCUCCAAACUGUAACCUCUGUAACACCUGUGGUGGUCACCCCCCUGCCCCUGCCCCUGCCCCUGCCCCUGCCCCCGCCACCCCCAUCCCCAGUCCUCCCUCCUCCACCGCUGCCUCCGCCUCCAUCUCACCCCCCCACCCCGCCCAUCCUGCCCGUCACCCUGUCCCUCCCCCUCCCUCUGCCGAUGAUCCACACCACCCCGCCCAGCCCCCACCUGUCGUGGGGCGCCUGCUCCGAUGCCGACGUCUACUCCCGGAUCGGAGCCUUCAGACCCUCCAGACUCUCCAGCCUGUCCGGCCAAUCAAAGGUCAUCCUGUUUGAACACUCAUCCCUCUGACCUCUGACCUCUGACCUGGGCACAGACUAACACCUGCCCUGCUGGGAAUGUAGCAGAACUGCGCAAAAGCUGCUACAAAGAGGGCGGAGUCACCAGAGUUUUUGGCAGGUUGUCGAGGCUUUCACAUCGUUUUGGGGUCAGGAUACGAACUUGGCAUUUGUCAAUGUCAAGUUUCCAGAGUUUGGACUUGUGAACUGGUCUUGGUAAGAUAAGGUAAGAUAAAGUAAGGUAAGGUAAGAUAAAAUAAGGUAAGAUAAAAUAAGGUAAGGUAAGAUAUUUGGGUGCACCUCCACCUCUAUAACCUUUCAUUCAGACAUAUAUCAGGGUUCCCGCGGGGUCUUAAAAAGUCUUAAAAGUCUUGAAUUUACAAAUCUGCAUUUAGUACCUUAACCUCCUAGGACCCAGCUAUGGAUUUUCUGUCCACAUUUGUAGACAAGAGUUUCACAACUUUAUACAAAAAAAGAAAAGAAGAGAAAACUGUCCACUACAAAGGACAUUCCAUAAAAAUUUUAAAAACUCUCUGAAAAAACUGUUGCAUCAUGAUGUUUCCAGUGUAGGCACUUAUUUAAUAAAAAACAAAAAAAGCUUGUACUUUACUGACAUUUCCUGGGUCUUAGGAGGUUAAAAAAGUCUUUAAAGUUAUUAUAUUUGCUAUGGUAGGUCUUAAGUUAUGUCCAUUAUCCAUAAACUUGCUGGCUGUGUUGUGUUUAAAUGUGUCCAAGCUGCAAAGAAAGUAACAUUAGUGGACUCAGUUCCACCUGUUCCAACUGACUUUGAGAACUUUAAGGGAUGACUCAUGCAAAAAGUCAACAUGAGGAAGUGUAAAUGUAAUAAUGUUUGGUUGGAGAAAAGAUCAUUGUGGACCUGGCUGACCUGAGUGGAGGGGAACGUGUUUGAAGUUCACUGCAGAUUAUGCAAGUAAUCAAUUCAACUCUGAAUGAUGGGAGUGACGACGUUGGAGUAAAUGAAUACGCUUUCCUAAAAAGUCUCAAAUUUUGGCCAGAAUGGUUGUUAAAUGGACAUUAAAUUCUGUUCCAAGUGUCUUAAAAAGUCUUAAAUUUAACUUGUAGAAACUUGAUAUAACAUCCAACAUGUGGCACACAACAUUUAACACUAGGCACAAUCAGUUUUUACAGCCGCUCAGUUAAAAAGUUCCAUAUUUCAGUUCAUAAAUUCAAAGUAAAUAAAUAUUCUUGCACAUCAUAAUGUCACUGUCUGGACUGUGAGUGCAGAGUUCAUUGUGUUUAAACCGUUCAGUCGUUUUGUGGUUUGGAUCUGAUCUUCUGAGGGGAGGAGUCAGUCCAGAUGAGUCCUUAUGAUGCUGGAUGUUUUCCUCUGACAGUCACUGGGAUGCUUUCACUGGUUAAAGGACCUGUGGGCGGGAUGACGAAGGGUUAACAGGACUGGAACUAUUGUCUGAUGCAGUCGUCUGUAUCUUCUUCAGCUGCAUCUGUGCCAUUCCGUUCCGUUCUCAAACUCCUUAAAUCUGUUAAAAACUGUAGUUUGUUCGUGUUCAGGAUGAUUCAGCUGGUCUUUGACCUGUACAUGGCUGUGAUUGGUCACCUGGCGUAAACUCCGCCUUUUUAUGUUUGAUUGACGUGGUUGGGUUGAAUGUGUGGAAACAGAAAUGAUGGGUUUGCUGAACCUGUAUUGUGAUCCAAAUAAAUGUUGUCCUUUAUUUGUAAAAAAAACUAUGUUAAAAGACGAUGAUGCCUUCAGGUACAUCAGGUUGAUUUGACUUCUGUACUUGUCUGUCCCUGUGUCUCUGCAGUGUCUCAUCUGUGUGGGCUUUAGUCCUUAGUUUUUCCACAGAACAUCAGUGGUGUGUUUUCAGCCUGGUUUACAGCGGCUCACUUCAUUGUUUCUCCCAGUUGGAGGCAUUUCCUGACUCACUUUUCCAUUGUCGGUUCCUCCCUGCUUCACAGCUCCCACUGUUUCCUUCAGCUCUGCUCUUAAGCCUAAUUUCUUUACAUAUUAGUUAUUCAGAAUUUGAAAAUGACGCCUUUUAUUUAAGAAAAUGUCCAAACCAAGGGAGUAGGUUUGAUUUUUGACAUUGGCGUGGACACAAAAGUGCUCCAAGGCAGCACUCCUGAAAAUUGAGGUUUUUUUGCAUUUGCAAUCAUAAUUUCACAUCAUGUCGAGCUGAUCAAACAAGUAAACAAUCAUAGUCAGAAAAAAAAAUCAGUAAUUAACAUGUUUAUAAUGUAUAUGUGAAUAUCUAAAGACAAGUAUAAGAAUUUAAUGCAUUCUGCAAAGUUAUUCUCAUGAUGAACAUAUGCAGCAUUAUUGAACCUCAGCUGGGAAUUUACAGCCUCUACUCCUCUACCUCCUCUUCCUCCUCCUUCUUUUCCUCCUCUACCUCCUCUUCCUCCUCCUUCUCUUCCUCCUCCUUCUUCUCCUCCUCUACCUCCUUCUCCUCCUCUUCCUCCUCCUGUACCUCCUCCUUCUCUUCCUCCUUCUCCUCCUCUACCUCAUCCUUCUCCUCCUCCUCCUCUUCCUCCUCCUCCUCCUCCUCUCUACUCUCUGUCUCCUGACAUAAAUAUGUUAAUUCAUGUCAUAUGAACAGAUUCUGGACACUCUGUUCAUUCAGUUUGAUGGUACAGUUACUGUCUGAGCAAAAAAGACUUUUACUUUCAAUUAUUACAGGUAAUUUAUUCCCAAAAAAUAUGGAUAAAAUCACAUCUACAAUCACAUUUACAAUCUGAGGUUUUAUUUUGUUUUCCCCACAAAUUUUCUUUAUGUGUGUUUUUUUAACAGUUGCUUCC
ensembl:lncRNA